rnacentral:lncRNA from 1 species
AUUAAGCUUUUAUCACAUUUCGAAAACUAUGAACUAACAAACAUAUCUUCUUACUACGUAAAGGAUUAGUUGAAAAAACUGAAACAUUAAAACUAAACUAUAUAUUAAGAGUUAAGAGAAAAGAGAACAAAAAGAAAAAAAUAGAAUAAAAUAAAAAAUUAUGCAAAACGAUGCAAAAGAAUGAAUUGAAACCAAAAAAAAAAUCUGUUUUGUUGCUAAUUUUAAUUAGAGUUUGAAUUAUCAUCUAAAAUAGAAAUUUACUAAUAUAUUUAAUAUAUAAAAAAUUUAUAAAUAUAGUUGUAAAGUUCAACAAAUUUUAUAUAAAAAUGCCUUAUAAAUAAUAUUUUAACAAAAAAUUACAAAAAAUUAUUUGUUUAUAGGUAAUAAUACGAAUAUUUUUUUUAAAAAAUAUGCUCUAUUAUUUUGGAUGCCCUAAUCCACAGCUUGGGUGGCUUGCCCUCCGGGCCGGCCCUGUCAUUGACACAACGUUACUCAUUGACACAACGUUAGGUAUAUACACUUUAGAGCAAAGAUUCAAGAUUUAUGUUGCCGGCCGACUUUUAGUUCUAACCUUUUAGCAUAGUACUGUAGGGGUUGGCAACUUGAUUAUCGCGAUUAAUGAUUUGUGGAUAUAUUGUGCCAGCUGUUAUGUCAUUAAUGAGCUUUCCAAAUUGCAAAGCAGACCAUCAUCUUGGACUUUUCUCACAUCAGUCGACAACACUUGCAAUUUGAUCCACUGCAUUUAUAUAAUAUUUCAUCUUUUAGUUAUCUUGUUACUGGACCGUAAUUAAGAAAUUAGUCAGCAGUGACUCUAGUAUAAGUGUGUUUAAAGAUCUAAUAUAUUAAAAUAGAAGUUACAACUUCACUUCAUGUG